GGACUACCCGGGUAUCUAAUCCCAUUCGCUACCCACGCUUUCAUGUUUCAGUGUCAGGAGUGCUCCAGUAUGCUGCCUUCGCUUUUGGUGUUCCCCAUAAUAUCAACGCAUUUCACCGCUACACUAUGAGUUCCGCAUACCCCUCGCAUCCUCGAGUCGUGCCGUUUCCCUUGCAGGUCCCCGGUUAAGCCGAAGAAUUUAACAAAAGACUAACACGACCACCUACACAUCCUUUACGCCCAAUAAUUCCGGAUAACGCUUGAGGCACUCGUAUUACCGCGGCUGCUGGCAC
rnacentral:rRNA from 1 species